UACGGAGGGGGCUAGCGUUGUUCGGAAUUACUGGGCGUAAAGCGCACGUAGGCGGACCGGAAAGUCAGAGGUGAAAUCCCAGAGCUCAACUUUGGAACUGCCUUUGAAACUUCUGGUCUUGAGGUCGUGAGAGGUGAGUGGAAUUCCGAGUGUAGAGGUGAAAUGCGUAGAUAUUCGGAGGAACACCAGAGGCGAAGGCGGCUCACUGGAACGAUACUGACGCUGAGGUGCGAAAGCGUGGGGAGCAAACAGG
rnacentral:rRNA from 1 species